UGGUGUUGGUUCAUCACUCUUACUCGGCUGUCGCGGCUUUCACUUUACACUUUUAAACUUUCAGACAGCUGUGCCCUCAGCCAACCCGGAUUCUUCAGUCUGCCCUCCGUUAGCAGACAUAAUACUAAACGAAGUGCUUACGUCAGCUGGAAAUCACAUUUCUAAGGCGUUGCUCCCUCUACAAUCAAGCCUACACGUUUGCAUGUUCCGCUUCUAAUGUUUUUCCUUCCAAUUUUUGCGUUCCUAUUCUAAUUUCAACCGUUGCUCCUUGUUUUUAUAAAAAUAAAAAAAUAAAAAAAAAAAUCGCAAUCUUAAUUUCUCUAUUCGCAGACUCCUUGCCAGCAUCUAAUCCACGCUAAAUUGUAUAAUCUAAUUUUCAAGCCUUUUGGUUAUUCAGUUCUAUUACUACUUGAGGGGUUAGCUAAAUCUUCCAACAAAUUAAAGACAAAUGUCUGCCUAUUACCCUGCCCAUAUUGCAAAAUUAAUUACUUCCAUCUGCUACGGCCUUCCUUCGAAGUACCUCAAUAUUCUUCUGGAGGCAGUGUUUAUCUGCCUUCUACAGGUUAUGCUUCCAGGGGAAUUCACUUCAAACCAAUCCAUUUGAUCCUGCUCUCGGCAUUUCCUUCAGAUCUAUGAUUCGGACCAAAAAUUCUUCACACUCUCCUCAAGCACUCAAAAACCGAUGUGCAAGGUUCUGGUGUCACCUUAACAAUUCUAAAAUCAAUAAUCCUGUCUCUUCUCUGCAUGGUGAAAUUUCUUAAAAAUCCGACCUAGAAUUUCUAAAACGCACCAGCUCUAUUUUUUCUAACGGAGCCCCCUUUCCAAGGCUGUUUAGAACUCGCUUAACCACUGUUCUCAAAGCUGCAGUCUAUCUACUGGCCAUUCAUUCAGAAUUGGGGCAGCUGAAUGAGGGAUCUCUACAUCAGCUGUUAAGAUCAUGGGCAGAUGGUCUUCCUAAGCAUUUGAAUCAUACAUCAGACCUGAUUCAAAACCAUUAUUGAAGCUCAGCAAGCUCUCCUGUAACUAAUCAGGAACCUUAGGAUUCACAACUGGUGGGUAUACUUCAUCUACUUUUUUGGGGGGGAAGGCUGGCCCCGUCUGGAGGUCUCAUAAUCCACCUAAUUUUGGGGGUCUGCUGCGCCCCUGCCUUCGUCUUCAGGCAGGAAAUGCAGAUUCGCUACCCUCGGAUUACGAACCAUGGACGGGGCCUUCCGCCAAAGAAAUUUAUAAUUGUGCUCGCUGAGCUGUCAAUAAAUGUAUGCUUCGUACAUUCCUCUA